AAAUAUAAUGGCCUAUGGAAGAGAUUAUAGGAUUCGAAUACUUUUCACAAAUAUAAUAGCCUAUGGAACAAAUUAAGUAUUAGAUUUGAAUUAAGUAUUUGGAAUUUGAAUACUUUUAAUAAAUAUAAUGCCUUAUGGAACAGGUUAAUUAUACCAUUGAACUAAAUACUUGGGAUUUGAAUAUUUUUAUUAAAUAUAAUGGCCAAUGGAACAGAUUAAGUAUCACAUUGAAUUAAGUAUUUGGGAUAUAAAUACUUUUCAUAAAUAUAAUGGCCUAUGGAAGAGAUUAGAGGAUUCGAAUACUUUUCACAAAUAUAGUUGCCCCCGGAACAGAUUAAGUAUUACUCUGAGUUAAGUAUUUGGAAUUGGAAUACUUUUAAUAAAUAUAAUACCCCAUGUAACAGGUUAAUUAUACCAUUGAACUUAAAUACUUGGGAUUUGAAUAUUUUUAUUGAAUAUAAUGGCCAAUGGAACAAAUUAAGUAUUACAUUAAAUUAUGUACUUGGGAUUCGAAUACUUUUCACAAAUAUAAUAGCCUAUGGAACGGAUUAAGUAUUACUUUGAAUUAAAUAUUUGGAAUUUGAGUACUUUUAAUAAAUAUAGUGCCCUAUGGAACAGGUUAAUUAUUCCAUUGAAAUAAAUACUCGUGAUUUGAAUAUUACUAGCAAAUAGAAUGACCCAUGGAACACACUGAGUAUUGGAUUGAAUUAAGUAUUUAGGAAUGAAUACUUUUCAUAAAUAUAAUGGCCCACGGAACACAUUAUAGGACUUCAAUACUUUUCAUAAUUAUAAUGACUCACGGAAGAAAUUAUAGGAUUUGAAUGCCUUUAAUAAAUAGAAUGGCCCACGGAACUGUUUAAGUAUUACUUUGAAUUAAGUAUUUGGAAUUUGAAUACUUUUAAUAAAUAUAAUGCCCAUAGGAACAGGUUAAUUAUUCCAUUGAACUAAAUACUUGGGAUUUGAAUAUUUUUAUUGUAUAUAAUGGCCAAUGGAACAGAUUAAGUAUUACAUUGAAUGAAGUACUUAUGAUUUCAAUACAUCCAGUUAAAAUAAUGGCCCUUGAAAUAGACUAAGUAUUGAAUUGUAUUGAACACUUGUGAUUUGAAUAUAUCUAUUCGAUAUAUAAUGGUCCUUUAAACACAUUAAGUAUUACUCUGAAUUAAGUAUUUAGGAUUUGAAUAUCAUUAAUAAAUAAAAUGACCCAUGGAACAAAUUUAGUAUUUAGGGUUUGAAUACUUUUAAUAAAUAGAAUGACCCAUGGAACAAAUAAAGUAUUUAGGAUUUGAAUACUUUUAAUCAAAGUACAAUGACCCAUGGAACACAUUAUGCAUUUGGGAUUCGAAUACUUUCAAUAAAUAGGGAGACUACAAUAAAAUCAAUAUCAAAUACAAUAAAUAGGUAUUUGAAUAUUUUUAACAAACAGAAUGGCCCAUGAAACAAAUUAAGUAUUUGGAAUUUGGAUACUUUUAAUAAAUAGGAUGACUCAUGGAGCAGAUUGUGUAUUUGGAACUUCAGAACUUUUACUAAAUAGAAUGGCGUAUCGAACGAAUUCAGUAUCAAAUUGAAUUAGUAAAUAGAAGGGCCAUGGAACAGCUUCACUAUAUGGAACUUACAUACUUUUAAUAAAUAGUAUAACCUAUGUGGAAUAGACUAAAUAUUAAACUAACUUAGAGCUUAAAUACUUUUAGUAAAUAUAAUAGCCUAUGGAACAGUUUAAGUUUUAAAUUAAUCCGAAUAUUUGAAAUUCAAACACUUGUAAAAGUUAUUAAAAGUGUUAGAAAAUGUGGAAUAGAAUAACAAUAAAAAUAGCAAUAAUUUACCAAUGAUAAAAUACUAAACAAAUAUACGUAUAUCUACAAGAUUAAUUCAACAGUACGGCAAUUUUAAUAAAAAAAAUACUAAAAAUAAUAAAAAAAUGAAUCUUGUAAAUACUAAGAGACACUGUAGGUAACGGUGCAUCAUAUUUUAUAUUUAAAUAAAUAGUCGGAGAAUCGAAUUAUGUAAAAUAAAAUUGUAAAAACAGUGUGUUAGAUGAAAUUCACAAAGUGAAACGUUUUACGAUUAAACAACGUUAUUACGUCAUUGUUAUAAUCGAAAUAAUCACACCUAUAUAAAACAAACGUAGUAAAGUUGACAAAGAUGUAUAAACGUGGCAAACGUAGUACAGUUUAAUAAAGAAAUAUAAAAUAGGAAUAAAUUACAGAAUUAAAAUGUUACGUAAAUUAGUGUUCAAAGAAAUAUUAAUAUAAUUUUCUAAGAUAAAUCCUACGUCUUAAAGCAUUUAAAAAGUCCUGUAAUUGCUGCUAACAACGGUACCUAUCAGCUACUGAGAAUACGAUAACAUUCGAAGAUUAAAAAACAAAACAUCAAUGAAGAUCAACAAAUGAGAUACGGGAAUCUUAACGAAAAAUUAAACUGUUCAGUCUGAUAUUUUAAAAGAUAGAAUAAAAGUAAUAAAGCAAUUACCACAAGUUACCACUGCAUAUUUAUUUAUUACAAUUACCCUUUACCCCUAUUCGAGGAAAAACGAAGUAAAUAGAAUCGAAGUUUGCAAAUAAAUGCCGGUUCGACAGGUGACCUCAAGUAGAUGUUCGAAAAAUUAGGAUCGAUUUGCAAAAAGAAUACCGGUAUUAUCUAUCAUUUAUUGAGAUUUGAGGGGAAAUGCAGGCCAGUUUUUUUAAUCUCGAUAAUUAGGGACAAAGAAAGAAAAAGGCAAACAGGAAAUACACGUAACCGAGGUCAGUUAUAUCGGCAUUAAGGACUACACAUUAAUAGCGGUAAUGACGAAUAAGUAGAUAGUUAAAUAUAUAAAUGGCUGCUAAUGGCAAUGACCGUUUACUCUUCCACUGUUAACCGAUAAUCAGAAUAAUAUAUAAUAAUAAUUAACUUGUAAGUGACAUUAAUCGUGUCCGUUGUGUGCAGUCAGUGCGGUCAAAUAGUAGAGAUAUUUAUCCUAAGGAUAAACUAAUUUAUCUUAAGAAUCAAUUAACGAGCGAAUCUGGGUGAUUAGAUUAACCGAUAGAACGAUAGAACAGGCCCGAUAAUUUAAACAUACAAAUUCGAGUAAAUUAAAUAAUUAAAUUACCUUGACGUUCGUUAAAGAGACCCCGUCACUUUUUGACUUAAGACAGAGAAAACGUGAAAUAGUAUACCAAAGAACAAGUAAACAUUUCCCAGUGACACGAAGUUUGCGCUCGGAGGAAAUUAAUAGUCAAAUGUUCGAUAGAUUUCGUAACCGCAGUUUCUUUCUUUCUACGCCUUUAGCGAGAGGUAUUUUGAAUCUAACUUUUUUUUUUUUUAACCGAUUCAUUUCUCCAAUGACAUGUCCAAGUGCGUUCGUCGAUCAGUAAGUUUCGUACGAUGAUAAACGAAGAAGCGAGUAUCGACAUUGUAUCGAGUUCUUAGUGUUGUGCAAAAUAGCAAAGAGAUGAGAAGAACCGAUCGUGGACAGUUUGGUUGGUUAUACAAGGUUCGUUAACAUCCUUCGAUCAACUCGAUUCCAAUUGCCAUAAUCGGCACUAACUUACCGCCGAUUAACUACGACACCUCGAUAACCUAACUCUAUCGGCGGAAUUAAAAAAAAAAAAGGAAUAAAAAUUUUGUAAAAAAGUAAAAAAUGCGGAUCGGAGGAAAUAAGUAAAGGGAAGCGAAAGUAGCCUAACAAAGGUUUGACCUGACGUUUUAGCAAACUUCGUUCUUCAGAAAUGCUAAUUAUAUUUGGUAUCAAAGAAUAACAAUUUAACUUAACGUUCUCGUAAAUGAAUUUCUACUUGUCGUAUACUAUAGACGAUAUUUUUUAACAAGGUUCUGUGCGAGGAAAAGUCCGUUAAGCCGUUAGCAGCCGUGCAAGCAUAUUUACCAAAGAGUUGCUUGCGAUUCUGCGCGGAUCGCGUGGCUCUCAAAGAUUGGUCCCCAAUACUCCGAAGUAUCGCCGAGAAUCGAAGUCUGUCGAGAAUUAAUAUCUAUAGUCGAAGUCGCUGCAAACGUGUACGGGAGAAAGUGAAUACGGAGGAUAAGCUCGAGAAAUUAUGGUAAUUAACGUGACUCGGAGGGUCUGAGAAUUUGAGCGAA